rnacentral:lncRNA from 1 species
AUUUAUUCACAAAUAAAUUUCUUUGUUUGUGUAAUUUCCAGCAAGCUGGUUUUCUGCGUCAUGACCACUAAUUUAUUUUUAUCCAGAGCUACAGGGCUCCAAAUUGAAUUCCGUGAAUUUUCCCUGAAACUAGACCUAUAUAUCUUUCUAUCAUAAAAUUUUAAGAAUUUUUUGUCAAGCAAAUUAGAACAGUUUAUUAUUUAAAUCUUCCCCUGUUUUACUGCCUGACAGUCCUGACCUCCCC